rnacentral:rRNA from 1 species
GCCUAAAGAAAAGCUCGCGGCUGAUUAGCUUGUUGGUAAGGUAAUGGCUUACCAAGGCGACGAUCAGUAUCUGGUUUGAGAGGACGAUCAGACACACUGGAACUGAGACACGGUCCAGACUCCUACGGGAGGCAGCAGUGGGGAAUUUUCCGCAAUGGGCGAAAGCCUGACGGAGCAAUACCGCGUGAGGGAAGACGGCCUAUGGGUUGUAAACCUCUUUUUUCAGGGAGGAACAAAAUGACGUGUACCUGAAGAAUAAGCAUCGGCUAACUCCGUGCCAGCAGCCGCGGUAAGACGGAGGAUGCAAGUGUUAUCCGGAAUCACUGGGCGUAAAGCGUCUGUAGGUGGUUUGUUAAGUCAACUGUUAAAUCUUGAGGCUCAACUUCAAAUCAGCAGUCGAAACUAUCAGACUAGAGUAUAAUAGGGGUAAAGGGAAUUUCCAGUGGAGCGGUGAAAUGCGUAGAUAUUG